CGACCGCGACCCCAGGU
rnacentral:rRNA from 2 species